rnacentral:rRNA from 1 species
UACAGGGGGUGCAAACGUUGCUCGGAAUCAUUGGGCGUAAAGCGCACGUAGGCGGUUCGUUAUGUCGGAUGUGAAAGCCCUUGGCUUAACCGAGGAAGUGCAUCCGAAACUGGCGAGCUAGAGUACGAAAGAGGAUCGCGGAAUUCCCGGUGUAGAGGUGAAAUUCGUAGAUAUCGGGAGGAACACCGGUGGCGAAGGCGGCGAACUGGACAGUAACUGACACUCAACUGCGAAAGCGUGGGGAGCAAACAGG